AUGUCUAGCCUUCUGCAGAAUGUAGAUUUGGACCUCAUUUGGACAGAUACACUCAAAAUGGUGAUUUCAAAUAAAAACAACAACAACAACAAAAAACCCCGUAUAAAAACAGGAUCUGUAGACUGGUUUUCAAAGAGAAGCAGCGCUGUGACCUCCCACCGCACCCGUGAGCCAUCCCGCUUCUGUUGCUCAGCUCACGCCUGUGCCUGGCCAGAGAGAGAAAGAGGGAGAGAGAGAGCGAGCACACAAGCAGGGGGACCAGCAGAGCGAGAGGGGAGAAGCAGCUCUCCGCUGAGUGGGGAGCCUGACGUGGGGCUCGAUCCCGGAACCCUGGAUCAUGAGCUGAGCCGAAGGCAGAGUCUUCACCGACUGAGCCUCUCAGGCGCCAACACUUUUUAAAAGACAGAUGAGUGAGCGUAGACAGCAGGAUGAAAUCACCUAUGCAGAGCCCAUAGUCAAUCAGAGGCAAAGCUGGGCCCACAGUGAGGUCCAGUAACUGCAAAAGAGCUUCUUUGGGGGCACCGGCAUGGCUCAGCGGGUGAAGCGCCGGACUCUUGGUUUCAGCUUGGGUGUGCUCUCAGCGUUGUGGGACUGGGCCCCACACAGGGCUCCAUGCUCCCAGGGAAAUCUGCUGGAGAUUUUUUGUCCCUCUCCUUCUGUCCCUCUCCCCAUCUCUCUAA
rnacentral:lncRNA from 1 species